rnacentral:rRNA from 1 species
AUUAGAGUUUGACCCUGGCUCAGAUUGAACGCUGGCGGCAUGCCUUACACAUGCAAGUCGAACGGCAGCAUGAUCUAGCUUGCUAGAUUGAUGGCGAGUGGCGAACGGGUGAGUAAUACAUCGGAACGUGGCCUGUAGUGGGGGAUAACUAGUCGAAAGAUUAGCUAAUACCGCAUACGACCUGAGGGUGAAAGUGGGGGACCGCAAGGCCUCAUGCUAUAGGAGCGGCCGAUGUCUGAUUAGCUAGUUGGUGAUGUAAAGGCUCACCAAGGCGACGAUCAGUAGCUGGUCUGAGAGGACGAUCAGCCACACUGGGACUGAGACACGGCCCAGACUCCUACGGGAGGCAGCAGUGGGGAAUUUUGGACAAUGGGCGAAAGCCUGAUCCAGCAAUGCCGCGUGUGUGAAGAAGGCCUUCGGGUUGUAAAGCACUUUUGUCCGGAAAGAAAUGGCUCUGGUUAAUACCU